CAGGGAGCGCCAGGCCAAAAUUACAGGAGAGCUAUUGGAGAUUAUUGCUGGUGCCGAUGCCUUAACCUAAUGAAUUCAUCAUGUUAGUCCCUAUACAACUCUGCUUCUCUCCACAAUUAUGCUUCUUUGUAGGUAUAAUUCAAGGGUGAUUCCAUAUACAUUCAAAUAUGCUUUGUUUUAAAGAAGUUAUUGAGACAAAUGACUUUUUUUUCCUUUUGUAAUUCUCAAACUACUUGUAACAGCUCUGUGUACCAUGAGAACUGCAAUGUCUUUCAGAACAGAAGAGUUUUCUGCAUAUCUUUGUACCCAAUUAAUUUUCUCUAAUAUCUACACUAGUAUUGUCUGUGGAGUUUUCUCUACAAGGAUAUCCUAUAGAGGUCAGUGUCUGUUGGAUGAGCCAAUACGCAGAUUAUUUAUAGCAGAACUCAGUCCUUUUCGCCGCAAUGUAAUUAGAUUUACAAAGGGUUUCUUAUCUCUUUCAUCCAUUUAAAUUCUCCUGCUUCGUAAUCCUGAAUGGCCUCAAACAUUCAUAGUGCCAAAUAAAGCUCUUAUAUUUUGAAGAUCAAAGUAUGGAUUUCAGAAAACUGGUGUUGCUCCUGCUCUGUCACUGAAAUUCAUCUUAGAUUGCCAGUGCCAGUUGAGAGAGCAGUAUUACUAUAUUAGUUACCUGUGAAAAUUAUUUGAGAUGCUUAAUGCCAAUGCAAUGCAGCAGCCAAAAGAACCAGUUGCAGUGACAAGUUUAAUUCAGCCCUCGUGAUGGAACCUGGCGGUCGAAGGACUCUUGUAUUACUGUCAGCUUAUCCAUGAUUGGUUGGUGACUUCAAACAACUGCAAAACCCUUCCUUUUCAGUGGCCCUUUUUGACAUCAAAAACCUUGUUUCAAACAGUAAGUAUCAUAAUCCUUUUCUCCUUCCACUUUCCUCUGCAUUCAACUAUUUAUUAGCAAAACUCGUAUGAGAUUGAGGUAAUGAGUUGUGUCCAGAAGCUCUUUUGAAACGAUGAAGGUAAGUUUAAUAUGCAUCUGAUUUUGUAGACAGCGAGACAAUGGUUAAGAUGUUAACCAUUGUUUCUAUUUGAACUUCCUCUGAGGCUCCUUUCAGCCUCGUAUUGUUUAGAUCAUGCAGUUAUGGUAGGAUUGAACAAG
rnacentral:lncRNA from 1 species